GCCCCGGUGGCGAAAUCGGUAGACGCAGCAGACUUAAAAUCUGCAGCUUCGGUUAAACGGGCGUGCCGGUUCAAGUCCGGCCCGGGGCACCA
rnacentral:tRNA from 1 species